AAUAAAGGUGGUCACACCAAAUAUUGACUUUCAAGCUUAUUAGAAUUGUACAAACUCUGUUUUUGCCUUAUGUACUGAAAUUCCAUGUAUUUUUGUACAUGUUUCAAUCAAUCGCUACACCUAUUUCUCAUUUUCCUAGCAAAAUAUAUGCCUCAAGACCUUUGUACAACACUGUAUAUUGCUUCACUUAUAACAGAAAAAUAAAUGUCUUCAUUAUUUUAAUUGGUAAAAAUUUCUCUUGGCAAGUAAUUUCUGCAUUAGCAGGUACAACAGUAAGUUUACUUUGAGUUCUCUGCACCUCAUUACAGUGUGAAUUAAAACUCAUUGAAAAAAAGCACCCAGUGACACAGAGGAACAUAUUAAGUAAUUAAAGCAAAGGCAGAGGAGAGGAAGGCCAAGUGUAUCGCAGUUCUUAUUCUUGUUGUUCUCUUUCUCAGGGGCCAAAGCCAUUACAUUCCACAGCCAUGACAACGGGAACCAGUAUUUACUGAAAGCUGCCACUUACUUCCUACAAAUUGGACAUACUCAAAAGCUUCAAAUACCACUGUUACUCUAUGAGAAAUACUUCUGGUUUCUGACAUCUAGCAUAUUAGUUCACUGUUAAAAACUCCCACUCAAAACCCACAGCACAAUUUAUCCUAUUAACACGUCUGAGUGGUCAAUUAUACAUUAUGUCUCUCCCCUAAGGCCUCCACUGUUGUACGAAAGUGUUGAAAAUACAAUAAUAAGCCAUAUUGUUGCACUUGGUGCCAUACAUACACAAACUGUCUUUUACUCAACAGAUAUACUAUUUAUACCUAUUUAGAGUCACAUGUCCAGGGAAAUCAUACAAAAAGUAAUUAAUUUGUUGAAAAAGAAAUCUAUUUAUAUAAUGCUACUUGUCUUAUUCUCAAUAUACAGUCAGCCAUAGGGCAGUAAGGCUUGAGAUUAUGCUAGAAUUCAAUGAAAAAUCUCAACAUUACAGCUCCCGAAAUAACAGCUCUUCCAUUUUCAGUCAAAAGGUGGCAGCACAGACUGGGCCAUCUGUGCAAGAGCCUUCUGAAACACAAAGCUACUACUAAAUGUUUUACUAACACCUGGUGCAACUUGCUGUUUACUCGCCUUCAUUAAACAUGCAACGUUGUCCUACUGACAAGAUUUUGUCCAUCGCACCAAAUGAGACCAUGUGAACCCACGGUCGCGCUCCAUGUAAGAAAGAAACAGAUAAAAAGUUUCAUAUAUGCAGCAGAUCUAACACAUGCAUGACCUUUGUACACUUGUAACAAGUUUUACUUUUCAUUACUAUCAAAAGCAUAUACACAGAGGACAAAAGUAGUGUCUAUUUUUAUGUAUUUGAUUACUGUGAGUAUUGGGACUCAGUGUAAUCUUGGGGCGUAUCUCAUGAUAUAUUAAUAUAGAAGAAAACAUUUAAAUACUUUCCAAUAAGAGUGAAGAAUUUUAACCUAACCUCGGCUAAGCUCCUGCACGUUGUCCUAAUGAAAGACCUUCGCAGUGAGCUACUGCUCAGAGUAAGUCAGUAACUAAUAAAGUGUGUGGGUGGUACUCACUUAUUUUUUUCAGUCAUUGAUUAAUAACUUGGUUUAAAAAAUCUGCAAUGAAAAUGUGAACAACAAUAAUCACAAUCGAGUUCAUGUAAGUCAGGGUGUAACAUGUACAUAUAUGUUUUAGCAUUUCCAUUAAUAUUCAUGUUAACAUUUAAAGCUCUUCAGUCUCUGCCCUGCAUAUCUCACUGAUCUGGUCUUCAUCAGCAGGUUUAUUUGCAAGAACUUUCAUUAAAUCUCAGAAACGUGGGUGUUCGGGCCAUUUCUUUAAGCUACAUGUGGAACUCUCUACCUCCUCACAUUCAUGCACUGGACUCAUUGAUAUAAUUUAAGACUGCUCUUCAAACUUUUUAAACAGGUUUAUUCACUUUGAUUGAAGCCAUAUGUCAGGGUCCUGGGUCUGAGCGAUCCAGGACCCCUGAGCAGUCAUGGACUUGUUAUGUUGUGUAUAUAUAUUUGGUGUUGCUGUCCCUCUUCUCCCUGUCUGGAUGUGUGUAUGUGUUUCUGCGGGCGCCUUCAGGCCUGGUGGGUGUGGCCCUGCUGGUGGACUGGCCACACCCGAAGCCACACACCUGCUCCUGAUCAGGCCUCGUCGGGGGAGCUACUUAAGAGAGUCUUGGAGCUCCCACCGACGCGGGAUAAUUGAGUUAGACUCCCAAGAGGAGCGUGGAGAGGAAGGACAGCACGCACAGGGUGUGCAGGGUCACGACAGCGGGGAGCACGAACACGGACGCCACUGGAAGACACACACGGGAGUGUUGGGGAGCA